GAUUUUAAGUUAUAUAAACUAAAAACCUUCAAAGUUUUAAAAGGUAUUUACCAAAUCUUG
rnacentral:tRNA from 1 species